rnacentral:rRNA from 1 species
GACGAACGCUGGCGGCGCGCUUAACACAUGCAAGUCGAACGGAAAGGCCUGCUUUCCCUUGUGGAUUGCGGGUACUCGAGUGGCGAACGGGUGAGUAACACGUGAGUGAUCUGCCCCCAACUUGGGUAUAAGCCUGGGAAACUGGGUCUAAUUCCCGAUAGGACUGCAGGGUGGUGCCUGUGGUGGAAAACGAUUUUCUAGUGGUUGGGGAUGAGCUCGCGGCCUAUCAGCUUGUUGGUGGGGUAAUGGCCUACCAAGGCGGCGACGGGUAGCCGGCCUGAGAGGGUGGACGGCCACAUUGGGACUGGGAUACGGCCCAGACUCCUACGGGAGGCAGCAGUGGGGAAUAUUGCACAAUGGGCGGAAGCCUGAUGCAGCGACGCCGCGUGGGGGAUGACGGCCUUCGGGUGGUAAACUCCUUUCGACCGCGAGGAAGCCACCUGGUUGGAAGGGUGGUGACGGUAGUGGUAGAAGAAGCACCGGCUAACUACGUG